ACAGCUCAAAUUUGAAAUCUGGCGCAAGCCCGAGUUGUAAUUUGCAGAGGAUGUUUCGGGUGAAGCCACGGUCCAAGUCCCUUGGAACAGGACGUCAUAGAGGGUGAGAACCCCGUACCUGGCCGUCGGUGCCCCCCGCUGUGAAACUCCUUCGACGAGUCGAGUUGUUUGGGAAUGCAGCUCUAAAUUGGUGGUAAAUUCCAUCUAAAGCUAAAUACCGGCCAGAGACCGAUAGCGCACAAGUAGAGUGAUCGAAAGAUGAAAAGCACUUUGAAAAGAGAGUUAAAAAGUACGUGAAAUUGUUGAAAGGGAAGCGCUUGCGGCCAGACUUGCCCGCGGUUGCUCAGCCCGCCUUUUGGCGGGUGCACUCUUCCGCGGUCAGGCCAGCAUCGGUUUGGGCGGCCGGAUAAAGGCGUCGGGAACGUGGCCUCCCCUCGGGGAGGUGUUAUAGCCCGGCGCGCAAUGCGACCAGCCCGGACCGAGGUUCGCGCUUUGCUAGGAUGCUGGCGUAAUGGCCGUAAGCGGCCCGUCUUGAAACACGGACCAAGGAGUCUAACAUCUAUGCGAGUGUUUGGGUGUCAAACCCGUGCGCGUAAUGAAAGUGAACGGAGGUGGGAACCGCAAGGUGCACCAUCGACCGAUCCUGAUGUCUUCGGAAGGAUUUGAGUAAGAGCAUAGCUGUUGGGACCCGAAAGAUGGUGAACUAUGCGUGAAUAGGGUGAAGCCAGAGGAAACUCUGGUGGAGGCUCGCAGCGGUUCUGACGUGCAAAUCGAUCGUCAA
rnacentral:rRNA from 1 species